UUCAAAUUCAAAUUUCACAAACCCUGCAAACCUUAAUCUUCUUGCAGACGCCACCAUAAAAUCUUCUUUUGUUCAUCGAUUACUUCAUCAAAAGGGUUGUUGUCAUCGAUUGUCAUCAAAGUUUAAAUCAGCUUAGCUGCGGAUAGAUUUCUGCCAUAAGCUGUUGAAGGGAUCAUUUGAGUGAAAUCAAUGUUGAUUUAUCAGAAGAUGCAGUUGAAGAUAUCUUAAUUAAGGUAAUAAUUGUAUUACAUCAUGUUGAAAAA